rnacentral:rRNA from 1 species
AUUGAACGCUGGCGGCAGGCCUAACACAUGCAAGUCGAGCGAGCGGCGGACGGGUGAGUAAUGUAUGGGGAUCUGCCUGAUGGAGGGGGAUAACUACUGGAAACGGUAGCUAAUACCGCAUACCAUCAGAUGAACCCAUAUGGGAUUAGCUGGUAGGUGGGGUAAAGGCUCACCUAGGCGACGAUCCCUAGCUGGUCUGAGAGGAUGAUCAGCCACACUGGGACUGAGACACGGCCCAGACUCCUACGGGAGGCAGCAGUGGGGAAUAUUGCGCAAUGGGCGCAAGUCUGAUCCAGCAACGCCGCGUGUGUGAAGAAGGUCUUAGGGUUGUAAAGCUCUUUCGGUGGAGAGGCGUUACCUGCAGAGAAAGCACCGGCUAACUCCGUGCCAGCAGCCGCGGUAAUAC